GGUUCUAUGGUGUAGUUGGUUAUCACGUUAGCUUUACAUGCUAAAGGUCUCCAGUUCGAUCCUGGAUGGAAUCA